ensembl:lncRNA
CUUAAAGUUGCAUCUCCAGCGUCAGACCGAAAAAUAUCAUAAAAAUAAAAUUUUAGCUCAUGUAUCUGUCAUAAAAAAUAAGCUUAACAGUGAGUUUGUGAUAUCUAAAUAACCGGAAUAUCAAGAAAGGCGGAGGAAAAAAGAGGAAAAAAGAAAUAAAAACUCAGUCGAAUUAAGAAUGACUUGAUUGGUAGCUGGGAAGGCAACGUUUACAGAGGGCGGGGCUUCACUGUCCCGGCUCACUGAAGACGACAGCGGUAUAUCUGAUAGAGGAAACCGUAGGAGCAUGAAGUUUGUUUUUGUGCUCUAUUUGUGUGUUUCCUUUUUUUCAUUUGUGAGGAUGUAGCGCCGUCCUUCACUCGCUCAGCAGCACCAGAGUUUUAUUCCCACGGUGCCCUGUCCACAGUCAUCGCAGGGUAAGCGGGGAGAAGAUGAUUUGCAGGAUCCUGCUGCUCAUCAUCCUCACCUCAUGUGUCUCUGGAUCAUUUGUAGUCAAUGUGACACAGACCUCCUAUCAGGCAGAGGAGAACCACAACAUCACACUGGAGUGGACGUUCACCACCAACCCUGACAACUCCACAAACUCUGCUUCCAUCAUCUGCCAACAGAUGACUAAUUAUAAAACCUUUGGCUUCUAUCAUGUGUCCAAUGAUGUUGAGGUGUCAGAGUCUCAGGAUGAAAAGUUUUCAGGACGAGUCCAGAGUGACAAAGACGCCCUCAGAGAAGGACGAAUCAGACUUCAACUGUCCAGACUCAGGACUGAUGACUCGGGUCUGUACCUGUGUGAGGUGAAAACCGAGUAUGAUUAUGGCUUUGAUUAUUGUCGACUCAGCAUACACGCAGCUGCUGUUCCAUCAGCACACACCUGGAUGCAGAGGACGGUCCUCUACACUGCACUGGGACUGGAACUGACAGCUUUACUUGGCCUUGCAGUUUUACUGGUUAAUCGUUUCUGUGCCUUAAGAUGUCAUACUCGGCUGAGAAGAUACAAAAAUUUUAUUUAAAUGUUUAACAGGAGCUUUGUGGUGUCAAUUUGCACUAAGAGAAACUAAAAGCAGGGCUAAGAGGGAGCCAUGGGAGCCAUUUCUAUACGGACGAGCCGUCAGAGCAUCAGGCAGAAAACCUGAAGUUCAAGAAUCCAAGACAGCAUAAUGUCUGUUUGAAGUACCAGAAAGCCUCAUUGUGAUAUGAAGUGCUUAUUAUGUGCUCAUGUAUCACUGCAGAAAGGAUGAUGAUGUAGGUUAUGCUCCCAUGUGUGUCCUGUAUUUCUAAGCUGGACUCAUCCUGCCACCAAAUGGGAACUUUAAAAAAAACAAAAAACAACUUCUGCUCUCUUCAGUUUGUACAGCCUUUAAUCCACCAGAGGAUUUAGCCUAUAAAUACGCUGUUUUCCCAUCAGCUGUAUUCAGUGGUUAAACUUUAACAAGUGCCUGGAGUCAACAAGACCAAAGAAGGAAAUGUGCUGUUAUUUAAUCCUGACAGUAGGGACUGGACUUUGUUACGGCAGAUAACACACCUCAUUUGCUUCCUGUUUCCUCAAAGUGUAUGUGUUCCUUUAAGGAGCACACUGUCACGACCCUUUUGUUUUUACAAACAACAAUAAACUUUAUUAAUGACGUGGUUUACAGGAUUUGCAAUAACAAACAUGCAGUAAGAAAAUAGUCCUUUCUUUAUGCACAUACAACAGUUGUUAUUAGACUUUGGUACAUGCACAUUCCAUAGAGAAAGGCAUGAGCUGAGCAGAUGGUUCGAUUUUUCAUUGUCUAAAAUUCUGCUGCAGGUUUCUGUAACUUGUGGUUUCGACAAACUCAAACUAAACUGCUGCUGCUGCUUUUAUUUCAUUUCUUUCUCAAAUCAACACACACAGGCUGAUGAACUCGAUUUCUUUGAGCUGGAGUUCGUGAACUGGACGAAUUUCAUGUCUCAUGCUCAAUGCUUUCUUCUUGUUUUAAAUCCAGUCUAAAUUUUGAACUACACUGAGAUUUCAAGACGCUGCCUGCAGGACACAAAUCAUGUCUGGAAAUAGAUUCUGAGAUCAAUAUGAGAUGUUGUUCCUGCAUGAAGAUACAACAUACAGUUCUUUAUGCACUAUAGAGGAGGAGCAUAACAGCAACAAGAACUUCAUCAAAAUAAUUUAGGCAUGGAUUGAUUUGCUUUUAUGGGGAAAGAAAAAUAUCCAUGAAAAUAAGUAUUUUCCUCCACUUAUGGAACUAAGUGAAAUUCACCCUCUUGGCCAGAUGAUGGUGCUAUAAGCUCACCACUUCACUGUAUCCAAUCAAAUAUAUUAUCAUUAUUAUUAUUAUUGUUGUUGUUAUUAUUAUUGUUAUUAUUAUCAUUAUCAUUAACAUUAUUAUUAUUUUAUGGCACUUAUUGAAACCAAUGUUGCAAACUGCUUCAGUAAAACACCCUAAGCAACACAAUAAAUAUCAAACAAAAUGAAAAAGCAACACUAACCAAACCAUAUCCAUGUCAGUUAGGACAUGAAAGAAUUCCUUGAUCUCUCAAAACAAGAUAGAGUGGGAUUCAAAACAAGUUUAACAUUACCAUUACUUAAAACAGUAAUAUGGGGAUUAAAUGAGAAUGUCAAAGAUGUAAUGAAAUUUAUAAUAAAACAGUAAAUGUUUGAUCAUCGUUUCUUUCUUUACACAUCAGGGGAAACAGCUGGAGUUAUAUAACAGUCAAACCAAGUGUGGCACAAACAUAAUGAAACAGAAAAACUACAGUUUUCUGUUUUAGAUCAUAAAUUGCUGUCUGACAUUUCAAACAGAUGUUUUUGGGAGAGAGGUUCAUGUCUAUAAGUACAUCUGAAAUGAUGUGUCCUCAUAGGAAGCAGGUCCUUCAGAAAAAGUCCCCUUAGUCCUGAUGGGUUGUCUCUCUGAGGCACUCCCUGCUGGGUUUCGUGGCUUUUUCUCCUUUCCAAUAAUCACGGAAACUACAGCAGCUACUCCCAGCCCCGGUCCAACGUACAAGCUCAUGCUUCUCCAGCUCUCUGGAGGACUCAGUGUCGGUCUCUGAGGUUGAUCAGCUGCUGUUGUAAAACAGAGAUAUGUGUUGCUAUUAAAAAAUAUAUUAUGCAUCUGUUAUGAAAGGCAGUAAUGCCCUUAAUAUCCUCAGUGGUGAAAUCAUAUUUAAAGAAGAAAAAAGGAAAAAAAUAAAAAUAAAACAAAUACUCCUUAGUAAUUUACGUGUGACGCUGAGGUGACUGCUCUCAUUACCAGCACCAUGAUCAGUGUUCACCUCACACAGGUACAGACCAGAGUCAUCAGUCCUGAGUCUGGACAGUUGAAGAUGCUGACACCUCAACACCAAAGGAGGUCUGUGUCACAUUGACUACAAAUGAUCCUGUUGAGGAGACAGAGAGGGAAAGAGAGGAGCAGACACACUGAGAACUGGAACAAAUCUGUUGUUGAGCUUUAUUUGGAGUUCAUAAAGUGAAGCUGUAAACUAACCAGAGACACAUGAGGUGAGGAUGAUGAGCAGCAGGAUCCUGCAGAUCAUCUUCUCCCUGUGAGAGGAGACAGAGGUGAAGAGUCAUCAACACAUGAGGUCAAAGCUGAAUUGAUGCUGAUUCCAUCCUAGUGUUGAGCUGCAGGAUUGAAAGAGACAGUAUACAGUAAGUAGAUAUAAAGAACUGAUACAUAAUCUAAAACAAAUUUCUGUAAAACCUCAGUAAAACCGUAAUGUCACACUUUCAUUUAAUGCAGUAAAUCUUUUACAGUUGGACACAAGGUAAUCAUUGUGAGUAUAAUGUUGUUUUCCACAGACAGGAAAUGGUCUGGGAAAGACUUCAACCCGGGCCCCUACACAGAUGGGCUUUAGCCUGCAGUGCACAGACUGCUGACUCAACCAGGUGAGCUGUCCUGGCACCUGCUCUGUAAAUCAUCUGUCCUGAAUUCUCCUUCAGCGAAAAUUAAAAUGCAAAACAGCAUUGAAUUGCCAUACCACUAUCAUGACAUGGCUGUAAUAGUCAAAUGAAAAUGAUAAAAGCAGUAAAACAGAGGGAGUUACAGAGACUGGUCAGCUUCUCUGCUUUUUAAUCUUUAAUCUUUUUCUUAUUUUAAAACAUGUUGUUUAGCAUUAACACAACUGACUGAAUGCAGACUACCUAAAGCAGUUAUUUAAAUUUCUGCUGUUUCUUUUCGAGACACAAACAGUUAUAUUUAAGUUUCUUCACAUAUGUACAAAUGUAAAAAUAAAUAAAUAAAUAAAUAAAAUAAAAAUACAGAGUUCUGUUACAGCUCACAAUGUCAAUUUACACCACUUCUCAAAAUAACAUCAAAUAUACCUUUAUGCCUGUGGGGGGGGGCGUGGUCUGCGGUGCUGCUGCAGGGGAGGUGGAUGCACCUGCACGGCAUCCGCAAUCACGCCUCACCGACAUAAAAAGUCUGCACUGGGUCCUGGUUAUUGUUGCUGUUGGUGUUUGUGCGUUCGGCUGGCGGAAAAGUGCCAGCCGUGUGGGAACUAGUGAGCUGUCCAGGAUGUACUCUGUCUUAGUUAGCCAUCACAGAUAAUAUGAAACAAAACUGUGACAUUUUGCAGCGCUAAAGUCAACAAAUACUUGCGAAAGCUGUGAAGUAUAUUCUCAGGCUUAAGAACUGCACAUAGUAUUUUUUUCCCUUCCGACUCAUCUGUAGAUAAUGUCAUAGACAAGAUGGUAAACCUUUGUUUAUGAGUGCAGACAGUAAGCAGUUAACCCUUUAACUACCCCACCAAGAAAAAAGCAAUGGAAAAAGUCUUAUCUGCUCGACCAUUUGUUUUCCUAAUGGUUUAAGGAGCGGGCAUUUUCCAGAGUCUUGAGCUGUGACUCUGUGCAGAUGAAGUCUGACUCUUCUUCCUCCCAGAGUGUCUCUAUCACACUGAACCCGUCCUGCAGACUGUGUGUAGUUAUAUAACAUUUUAUCCAACUGGUAAAAUAAAAAAUCCAGUUGAUGAGAGAGAUGUCCAUUUGGAUCUGACUGUCCAAACUGAUGUUAAUGGUUUCCUCCUCCUCUGCCUCUUUGAUGUUGGAAAUCCUUUUGACAACAAACCUCCCUGUUGAGGAAAUGAAGAAAGAACUGUCACAAUCAAAACUGAGUCUGGAGAGUUCUCUGUUAUGUGUAACUUAUCUGCACCAUGUUUUCUUGUUGGUUAUAGUUAAGUUGUAGGUGUAAAGUUUUUAUUCUGAUGUGUUAUGAACUCUCAGGAAAAGGAAGUGAUGCUUCACUUUACUGCAGAUAACAUGAAUAUGGGUAAUAACGGUAGUUUAAACGUGAGUACAGUUCAUUCUGUAUCAAGUAAAGGUAGUUGAAACUAGAAGGACUUUCUCGUCC